rnacentral:rRNA from 1 species
AAACGCUGGCGGCGCACAUAAGACAUGCAAGUCGAACGGACUUAACUUCAUUCUUUACGGAUUGAAGAGCGGUUAGUGGCGGACUGGUGAGUAACACGUAAGCAACCUGCCUAUCAGAGGGAAUAACAGUGAGAAAUCAUUGCUAAUACCGCAUAAGCUGAUAAUACUCGCAUGAUAUAGUCAGAAAAGGAGCAAUCCGCUGAUAGAUGGGCUUGCGUCUGAUUAGCUAGUUGGUGGGGUAAACGGCCUACCAAGGCGACGAUCAGUUAGCCGAGCUGAGAGGCUCAACGGCCACAUUGGGACUGAGAUACGGCCCAGACUCCUACGGGAGGCAGCAGUCGGGAAUAUUGCGCAAUGGAGGAAACUCUGACGCAGUGACGCCGCGUAUAGGAAGAAGGUUUUCGGAUUGUAAACUAUUGUCAUUAGGGAAGAAAAAAGACUGUACCUAAGGAGGAAGCCCCGGCUAACUAUGUG